UUUGGAGAAAGGAGAAAAAAAAAUCCAGCACAUUGAAGCAUGAAGGAUUUCUAUAAAAGAAAGAUGAACUAGCCAGCUGACCGACUAAGCCCCUUGCCCCUUGCACUGUGGAAGGAUAAGAGCAGAUGAGUGCUGCUGACCUGAAGCUCUUCCACGCACCACCAAAACACUCUUCUGCCACUAGGUAUGGUGCUGGCCAUCCCUGCCUGCCUCCACAUCCUGCCUUCUCCUUGACAGAUACCAGUUCAGCCUUCAGUAUGGAAAGAAAAUUGAACUCCAGAGACAACCUUACAGAAAGCUGACCCUCAAGAUUUCAUAUUGCACUCCAGGUCAAUUUAGGUGGCUGUUCUUCCCUAAUGACAGGCUGCGGAAUGAGGAAAAGGCCAUCUUCCUUUUAGAUCCUGAUGGCUAUUCUUCUUUUCCAUUUCCUUAUGGCUUUAUCAGUGCUCCCUAGACUGCAGGCCCUGGUAGGAAGAGUUUAGGGA